GUCAAGUUUAAAUGUCAAGUAUUAACCUGUAACAAACGAAAGCAAAAGUUUAACUGAGCUGAAUUUAUAAAAACUGUGCUGAAAACAUUCCAUCUGUCUUAGAGUGAGAUAUCGUCAGAAAAAAGGAGACCAUGGGCCAGCGCAGCUCUAAACAAUUUAAAGGUUCAGACAGACAACUGGUGCAUUGGGGACAAAAUCAAGCUGGCAAUGCGUUUCAGGAUAAACAGGAAUAUAUGUGCCAGCCUUAUGAUGAGCAGGUGAAAGUUGUUGUGAGCGGCGAGCAACAUGUGUGUGCUAUGGAUGGAUCACAGUACGCCAUCAAAGAAGAAUACAAAUGGACCAUAGAAAAACAAUAAGACCACUGAUGAAGAAACAAAGCAGAGAGGAUGAAAUGAUCAAAUUCAAUCAAAUUUCCACAACCUGCCAUAAAAUGUGUUGCUUAUUAACAAGUUCUCGCAUGAAUUAAAUCAGUAACCUAGUCUUUAAAACAGGAUGUACAACAUUUUGAAUAAAAUUUGAAUAUUUACCAUUUGUUAACUGCAUCAUGUUGAUAAAUGUGUUUUUUCAUUCAGUUACAUAAAACAUAGAUUUAACUCUUUAAUGAUUAUUGGAAGACUUUCCUCAUGAAAUCAAAUUGUGGUGUCUGUAAAAGCCACUUUUGAAAAACAAGACAAAAUCAUUACAUAAUAAAAAAAAAUAGGUUUGGCUAGUUAAAAGUGAAAUUUAAAUUUUAUUUAAAAUGAACAAAAUUAAUAUAAUUGAGCUACUGAUGAAAAAAGUAUCUUUCUCUCAGCUGGGAUUAUUUCUCUUCUUUAGGACUUUGUGAAGAAUAUUUACCAUUUUAUCCAAUAAAAGAAAUCUGUGGGCAAAA